rnacentral:rRNA from 1 species
GACGAACGCUGGCGGCGUGCUUAACACAUGCAAGUCGAACGGUGAUGCUCCAGCUUGCUGGAGUGGAUCAGUGGCGAACGGGUGAGUAACACGUGAGCAACCUGCCCCAGACUCUGGAAUAAGCGCUGGAAACGGCGUCUAAUACUGGAUACGAAACUGGCCCGCAUGGGCAUGGUUUGGAAAGUUUUUCGGUUUGGGAUGGGCUCGCGGCCUAUCAGCUUGUUGGUGAGGUAAUGGCUCACCAAGGCGACGACGGGUAGCCGGCCUGAGAGGGCGACCGGCCACACUGGGACUGAGACACGGCCCAGACUCCUACGGGAGGCAGCAGUGGGGAAUAUUGCACAAUGGGCGAAAGCCUGAUACAGCGACGCCGCGUGAGGGAUGACGGCCUUCGGGUUGUAAACCUCUUUCAGCAGGGAAGAAGCGAAAGUGACGGUACCUGCAGAAGAAGCACCGGCUAACUACGUG